UUUAAGCGUAGCCAUAAAUUUAUGUAUUCGACUUUGAUCGUCCGUCUUAUUUGAAUUUUUUAUGAUUAGUAUUUUUAUUGUUAUUAGAUGAUAAAACAUGAAUAGUACUUUACGCGUAACAUGCUUUUAACUUUUUUAAAAAAAUUCAAAUAGAAUGGACGAUUAAAGUUGGACAUGAAAACUCAUGAUUGCGCUUAAA
rfam:Oryza punctata chromosome 4, whole genome shotgun sequence.